rnacentral:rRNA from 1 species
GACAGAGGUGCCAAGCGUUAGGCGGAAUCACUGGGCUUAAAGCGUGUGUAGGCGGAUAUCUAAGUACCUUGUGAAAUCCCACGGCUCAACCGUGGAACUGCUUGGUAUACUGGGAGUCUUGAGCCACCUAGGGGCGAGUGGAACAAAUGGUGGAGCGGUGAAAUGCGUAGAUAUCAUUUGGAACGCCAAUGGUGAAAACAACUCGCUGGGGGUGUGCUGACGCUGAGACACGAAAGCCAGGGGAGCGAACGGG